AUCCUCGCAGCAGAGUGGUUAAUGGGUUAGACUUGAAUUAUCUUGAGAUCUAAUGGCUUCGGCCUCGCAAGUUCGAAUCUUGUCUGUGUCG